rnacentral:rRNA from 1 species
UACGUAGGGCGCAAGCGUUGUCCGGAAUUAUUGGGCGUAAAGAGCUCGUAGGCGGUUUGUCACGUCGGAUGUGAAAGCCCGGGGCUUAACCCCGGGUCUGCAUUCGAUACGGGCAGACUAGAGUGUGGUAGGGGAGAUCGGAAUUCCUGGUGUAGCGGUGAAAUGCGCAGAUAUCAGGAGGAACACCGGUGGCGAAGGCGGAUCUCUGGGCCUUACCUGACGCUGAGGAGCGAAAGCGUGGGUAGCGAACAGG